GACGAACGCUGGCGGCGUGCUUAACACAUGCAAGUCGAACGGAAAGGCCCUGCUUUUGUGGGGUGCUCGAGUGGCGAACGGGUGAGUAACACGUGAGUAACCUGCCCUUGACUUUGUGAUAACUUCAGGAAACUGGGGCUAAUACCGGAUAGGAGCUCCUGCUGCAUGGUGGGGGUUGGAAAGUUUCGGCGGUUGGGGAUGGACUCGCGGCUUAUCAGCUUGUUGGUGGGGUAGUGGCUUACCAAGGCUUUGACGGGUAGCCGGCCUGAGAGGGUGACCGGCCACAUUGGGACUGAGAUACGGCCCAGACUCCUACGGGAGGCAGCAGUGGGGAAUAUUGCACAAUGGGCGGAAGCCUGAUGCAGCAACGCCGCGUGCGGGAUGACGGCCUUCGGGUUGUAAACCGCUUUCGCCUGUGACGAAGCGUGAGUGACGGUAAUGGGUAAAGAAGCAACGGCUAACUACGUG
rnacentral:rRNA from 1 species